GACAGAGGGUGCAAACGUUGUUCGGAAUUACUGGGCGUAAAGCGCGUGUAGGCGGCUUGGCAAGUCGGGUGUGAAAGCCCUGGGCUCAACCUAGGAAGUGCACUCGAAACUGCCUCGCUGGAGUGUCGGAGAGGAAAGCGGAAUUCUCGGUGUAGAGGUGAAAUUCGUAGAUAUCGAGAGGAACACCGGUGGCGAAGGCGGCUUUCUGGACGAUUUACUGACGCUGAGACGCGAAAGCGUGGGGAGCAAACGGG
rnacentral:rRNA from 1 species